rnacentral:lncRNA from 1 species
AUUGAGUGCAAGAAAACUUUUAGUAAAUUUUACACUUCAGAAAUUACACCAAGUUUACUGCCUAAGAGAUAUUGCCGACACGGUUAGCAGAAGGUUCCAGCUGAACCUCUGAUUCAACCUGAAUCUGGGAAGGUUCUGGCGCAUAGCUUUCUAGCUGGGAAGAUUCAACCACACUUGGCACUGAGGCUUGGAUUAUCUCUUGUGGCUUGAACUUGUUGAUAUAGUAACUAAGUGAUGGCCCAGAGUAUUCUACCUUCUGCACCACAGGUGGGUUCUUACCUACUUGGAGGAGUAUUGAUGAAGCGGCA